GGAGUCGGCCAGACAGCCGCGUCAUCCGCGAGGAUGCCGAGGAAAGUCCGGGCUCCACAGGGCAGGGUGCCAGGUAACGCCUGGGCGGCGCGAGCCGACGGAAAGUGCAACAGAAAGAUACCGCCGAUGGCCGGGCAUUUUUCGGAAUGUCGGGAUCAGGCAAGGGUGAAAUGGUGCGGUAAGAGCGCACCGCGAGUCCGGCAACGGACCGGCACGGCAAACCCCACCCGGAGCAAGACCGAAUAGGGGAGCAAUGGCGCGGCCCGCGUCGCUCCCGGGUUGGUUGCUAGAACGCCGCGGCGACGCGACGUCCAGAGGAAUGGCUGUCCACGACAGAACCCGGCUUACCGGCCGACUCCACUU
rnacentral:RNase_P_RNA from 1 species